rnacentral:rRNA from 1 species
GACGAACGCUGGCGGCGUGCCUAAUACAUGCAAGUAGAACGCUGAAGGAGGAGCUUGCUUCUCUGGAUGAGUUGCGAACGGGUGAGUAACGCGUAGGUAACCUGCCUGGUAGCGGGGAUAACUAUUGGAAACGAUAGCUAAUACCGCAUAAGAGUAGAUGUUGCAUGACAUUUGCUUAAAAGGUGCAAUUGCAUCACUACCAGAUGGACCUGCGUUGUAUUAGCUAGUUGGUGGGGUAACGGCUCACCAAGGCGACGAUACAUAGCCGACCUGAGAGGGUGAUCGGCCACACUGGGACUGAGACACGGCCCAGACUCCUACGGGAGGCAGCAGUAGGGAAUCUUCGGCAAUGGACGGAAGUCUGACCGAGCAACGCCGCGUGAGUGAAGAAGGUUUUCGGAUCGUAAAGCUCUGUUGUAAGAGAAGAACGAGUGUGAGAGUGGAAAGUUCACACUGUGACGGUAUCUUACCAGAAAGGGACGGCUAACUACGUG